GGGGAUAUAGCUUAGUUGAUAAGAGUGCUUGCCUUGCAUGCAUAAGGCCCUGGGUUCUAUCCCCA
rnacentral:tRNA from 1 species